rnacentral:rRNA from 1 species
UACGUAGGGUCCGAGCGUUGUCCGGAAUUAUUGGGCGUAAAGGGCUCGUAGGCGGUCUGUUGCGUCGGGAGUGAAAUCUUACAGCUUAACUGGGAACUUGCUUUCGAUACGGGCAGACUUGAGGUAUUCAGGGGAGAACGGAAUUCCUGGUGUAGCGGUGAAAUGCGCAGAUAUCAGGAGGAACACCGGUGGCGAAGGCGGUUCUCUGGGAAUAUUCUGACGCUGAGGAGCGAAAGUGUGGGGAGCGAACAGG